rnacentral:rRNA from 1 species
CGGAUCUGAGUAAAGUGGCGCACGGGUGAAACACGUGAAUGAUCUACCUCCGAGUGGGGAAUAACUGAGGGAAACCUUAGCUAAUACCAUAACACCUACGAGUCAAAGCAGCAAUGCGCUUGGAGAGGAGUUCGCGGCAGAUUAGAGUUGGCGGGGUAAUGGCCCACCAAGGCGAUGAUCUGUAUCCGGCCUGAGAGGGCGCAGACACACUGGAACUGAAACACGGUCCAGACUCCUACGGGAGGCAGCAGUGGGGAAUUUCGCAAUGGGGGAAACCCUGACGCAGCAACGCCGCGUGGAGGAUGAAGUCUCUUGGGACAAACUCCUUUCGAUAGGGAAGAUAAUGACGGUACCUAUAGAAGAAGCCCCGGCUAACUGUGCCAGCAGCCGCGGUAAUACGAGGGGGGCAAGCGUUGUUCGGAAUUAUUGGGCGUAGGGCGCGUAGGCGGUUUGGCAAGUUUGGUGUGAAAUCUUCGGGCUCAACUCGAAGUCUACCGAAAACUGCCGGGCUUGAGUAUGGGAGAGGUGAGUGGAAUUUCCGGUGUAGCGGUAAUGCGUAGAUAUCGGAAGGAACACCUGUGGCGAAAGCGGCUCACUGGACCAUUACUGGCUGAGGCGCGAAAGCUAGGGGAGCAAACAGGAUUAGAUACCCUGGUAGUCCUAGCCCAACGAUGAUUGCUUGAUGUGGCAGGUACCCAAUCCUGCCGUGUCGAAGCUAACGCGAU